CUGCCUGCCCAGUAUGCCUUUGAGAUUUACCCUUGAGGGAGUGCAAUUCCUUGCCAGGUCCUCUGGGAUUCUGUUCCUAACAGGUCUCAGUCACAUUAGUAGCUUUUUGCUACAUACAUUCCUUGUUUCAUAAAAUUAUUUACUUUUGUCUCCCUUCAAAAAUAAAAAAACGUACUUUUAAAAAUGUUGUCAGUUUCCUCUAAGUGAUAGUCUAAAACUUUCGGUAAACAUCACGUUUUCAAAAACGAAUAAAGAACUGUGGUUAAGGUGUUGAAUUGCCAUAGGUCACCUUAAAACUACAUAGCCACAGAGCUAUGCCUGUUUUUUCCUUCCUGGGAAUCAUUCCCAGUGUGAUAAGACGAAUUAUUAUUUUGGAUCUGGAUUCCCAAACAUCUACAGUUUUCAGAGGCAGUUUCUAAGACUAGUCCAGAUAACUCUAACACCUAAGGGGACCAGGUGGGACUGGUUUGAUCAAUCUCCAGGGAAGGAUGGAACAGGUUCAGCAACUCAUUUGCAAAUAGCCACUAAGGCUGCUGGGAAGCUGCCAUUUUGGAGUCCUGGGAAAGGUUAAGCGAGAAUAAGAACCAGGUGGAGGAAUCAUUUGAAACCAGUGAGAGGGCCAUGGUACACACAGAGCCAGGAUGAGCUCAGGUCCCUGGACAGAACUAUAAGUACAGUAUAGGUUUGUUCCCAUGAAAUGGGAACGUUCACUGUCCAAGACUGAAAAGAACUGUAACUUCCGAGGGGCAUUUUAGCAGUCACCAGCUGAGGGGAGUAAGAGGAAAAGAGCUCUGUCUUUGCCUUGUUCUCAAAGCCCUGGGAAGCGGUGUGAACCAAGGAAAGGACCUGGAGCCUCCCAGUCUUUCCAGAAAGACCUGAAGAUUGAAGACCUCUGGGUUGUUUCUAGGCAAGAGGAAGAUUCUUUUUAGCUGGGCUUCUUCAGGAAGUUCAAGAUAUUGAUAGAUUUUCUCUGUGGGUCAUUGACUUUGCCUUAGGAGGAGUUGCCUCACCCCACCUUCAGGGGAUCUUCAGGAAGGGCGUGGGCUCUGGGUAACAGCAGAGACAGUGGCUCAGCGCCUAGUGAGCUAGGACUGGUCUGUGAGUAGGCGCAUCCUCCCAGGGCAUCUGCUGAAACUCUGAUGGCAGUGGUAACUCCCCAGGUCCUGCUGACAUCCCUCUAUAAAGAGAUGAUUUCCCCUUGUCAAAUUAUCAACUUCCUCAAGGAGCAGCAGAUACAAGAAAGGUUUGUUUUAACACAGACUACAUGGGAUACACACAGGAGCAUGUGGCUGCCAAUGAAUAUGGGGCUUCUGGCCUGUCAGAUAAAACAGGCCUGGCCAUUUCAGCAACACAAAGGAUCGGACUGUGACAGCAGGCAGCUGCAUGGACACAUCUCUAGUGCCUUCUGCUGAGUGAAAGAGGCCACACACAAACGAAUGAGAAAUGGAGGUGUCUCUGAGAGGAUAAGUGGCUUGUCUGAGAUUUCUCCGUUGGAAGCUGACUCUAGACCUGAGAUUAAUGAACUAUUCUUGGGAACACAGGCCUUGUGAAUUCUACUCUGUUGCCAUGUCUUUGAGCUCAGUAGGAUCUUACUCAACAUACCAAGAAGAAACAGUUAGACAGCUGCUUUUACACCCCUUUCCGACCUCUUGGAUGGAGGCCACCUGCCUUUCAGCAUCCUCCCCUGCACACCCCUAAGCCCAGUUGCCUGCCAGAAUUUCAGCCUUUAGGAAGUGACUUGCAGGAGAAUUCUACAAGUUAAGAAUUCUCCUACAAGGUUGUAUUGUUAUUUGGAAAGUGAAGUGAUGAGCAGACUAAUUGUCAUGACGGAUUUGGAAAUUGGCAUCAAGGUUUUGUUGAAGAGAAUGUGGAGUCAACAUAAUGCUUGUCAAAAUUGCCUUUCUCUAAUAACAAGCAAUAUGUGCUUCUGGGUUUCUGAGAACACUGCAAAUUAUUUCCUUCUUUUUGAGGUACAAGUUAAAAUGUUCAUCUUGGUUUGCUGCAUGUUAUUAAAAAGUGUGUUAUCUGGGUGAUGAGUCUGUAAGUAAUGAAGGAUCAUUUGAACCAUAAGAAAAGCCACAGAAAUGGAGACAAACUGGUAUCAGUGGGACACUAAUGAGGUAGAAAUAAGUAUAUCUGAGGUCAGGAAAGCCAAAGGCAUACUUUUCCAGUAGCUUUCCUGUGCUCUCCGGUACCUGGUCAUGGUACUGAACUUUGCAUUUCUAUAAUAACUAUCAGCUUUCAAGAUUCUUGAGACUUCCUCAAGGAGAGGAAGGGGUGAAUAGAAAGGAGAAGGGAGGGUCAAGCAAAACAUCCAUGAUGAUGGCUUAGAAAAAGGAAAUAUAAAAUAUAUUCUUUUUGUACCCUAAAACAGAGUAAAGCAACAGAAUAGAGUAAAGCAUGGGUCUUAAAUCAUUCAUUCAUUCAUUGAACACUUGAACUAUGAAUUAGAUUCCUUUCUAGGCAUUGGAGAUGCAAUUAAUAAAGCAGAACAAGACCCUGCCCUCAAGAUCUCAUUGUCUACAACUACAUAUUUAGAAUUGAUUUGUUUUUAGAAUUGUCCUAAAAUUAGACCUGUAUUUGUCUUCAAUUAAGUGGAUUUUUUUUUUAAUGAGAAUUUAGCUUUUCUCAAAAUCUGUAC
ensembl:lncRNA